GGAUGAUGAUAAUGAUGAUGAUGAUGAUGAUGAAGAUGAUAAUAAUAAUUAUUAUUUUUAUCAUCAUCAUCAUCAUCAUCAUCAUCAUCAUCAUCA
rnacentral:pre_miRNA from 1 species